rnacentral:lncRNA from 1 species
CUAUCUCUGCCGGGAGGGCUUCACCAUAGGAGAUAGGUUGAGGGCCCAGGGACUCGAGUUCUUUUGUUCCCUAGAUCUCCCCACAUACCCAGGUCUAGUUAGGGAGUUCUAUGGAACAGUACAUAGAGGAAAUGGUGGGAUAGAGGGGACCGUAGCGGGUGUCCCACUAUUUAUUUCGGAGGAUAUCAUUGCUCAAAUCCUCCAUCUUCCCCAAGUAGGGGUAUCUCCUACUCAUCCUGAGGAUAGGACUGAGGCCCUUACGGCCAUUUUAGGGAGUCCAC